GGACAACUUUAUCUGGUACUAAGUAGCAGCUAAAAGAGGAGCUAGUUCAGCAGUCUGCAAACCAAGUUAAGCAUUUAACGUUAGCAUUUUAAAAAAAAAAAAUGUUAUUUGCAUACUGCCAUGAAAUAUGAACAGCUGUUUUCUGGAGUGAAGACUGAGGGCUUCUUUUUUUUUUUACAGAUGUGUGUGUUCAGUAGAGCUGAUGUUAUAUUUCUGACCAACCAGUGUGUGAAAUAAAGUGUGACAGACUAGAUUUAAGUAGCUAUUACACAAGAACAAGCUGGGAUUUAUUUAUCUGCUCUGUGAUUUAAGGGCUGUUUAAAGACUUUAUGCUCUUGGAGAUAAAGCACUUUGUGUUUGUAUCAAUUAGCUCAUCUUAACAGUUCACAUAUUUUUAGAUGUUUAAAUAUGCAGAAGACGAGCAAAUUGCAUUCAAAUGCCACACAUGCUUGAGAUGCAGUAUGUGUUAAUUGUGUUAUUAAAAGUGAUGGAAGUUGUCGGUAGUUAUGUAAAAAUAAACCUUUGUAGAUACUAUAAAUAGACAUAAUUAGGCACAUUGUUGACACCUCCUUUCUUUUUGGCAUUUUAAUGGAGUCAAAGCUGUUUUUAAGACCUGUAGUUUGCAUACUGAUUCUAACCCAGUUUGACAAUGAUCCUGCUUGAUGUUUGUAGUUACAGCUAUUACAUCACAGUGAAUUGACUGACUGAUUGAGUGAUUGAAUUCCAUUUCCCCAGGGUUAUUUAGAGAAUAGCUAUGGCCCGGUCCAGUCAGCAGCCUCAGUACAGCUGUAGUAACCCAGAGCAGUCAGCUCCCCCUGCACAGGAUGCUGACCGGCCACACCCAGAAGAGGAGGAGAUAGUGAGAGAUGAGUGUGAUUCAGCAGUGUCUGGAGCUCCACCUGCUGAGCAUGACAUUUCUCAAACCAGAGCUGCAGGCCCUGCUCGCCCUCCCUCGUACUCAGCACGGACAGGGUAGAACCAGUAGGAUAUUAUUAAAGGAUAUUGUUGUUACAUGGUGUCCAUGCCAGAAGAAAAUCUUAAAAAAAAAAAAAGAUGCUGUUUGAAACCAUCCCCAUGUUCACUGGAGGAACCUGCAACCCUCAGUUCAUGGUGUACCAGCUGAAGAUGAAGAUCCACACGUCGAACCCAAGAAGACAAGCUGAUGCUGUUUGAGUUCCCGCAGCCGCUUCCUGUUUGUGGAGACAUCAUGGUGGAGUCCUUCCACAAGUAGAACAAGAUGAUGAGGACGGUGAAGCUGUACUUCACUAAGACGGUAGAAGAAUUAGCUGACUGUGACGCCAGCAGCACGUUGGCCUCUGUGACACUGAACGUUAGCGACACCUGAGAGGGAGUGAGGGAGAGACGGAGGGAGAGAGAGAGAGACACAGACAGCAGGUCAUUACUGUACCUGCACACAUGACAAGACUACAGGUUGUUCCUGCACCUGUGAUGGAGCUGCUCAUACACAUUCAAGGACAAGAGCCACUCACUGCCUCCAUGUUGGCUGCAGCUCCACUCAUGGAUCAAUAACAGCUUCUUGGGGAGCGACUGUACCCAAUGAUUCAGGCCCUUCAGCCAAAUUUGGCUGGUAAAAUUACUGGGAUACUGCUGGAGAUUGACAACUGGGAGCUGCUGUACAUGCUGAAGGCUGCUGAAGAGAUAUUUGAGCUGUUUGAAAGAACGAUAGCAGAGCAGAGCACAUGACUGUGAGUGUUACUGUGAUCUUUUGGUCUGCAUUGGUAAAUUUCACCCUGAUAUUUUAGUCAUUAACUCUACUAAUUCAUGUGAAACCCUGAGUGGCUUGGCAGGGCAAAACAAGGGCAACAGUGGGUGAUUGGGGUAAAGGAGCACAAGACAGCAGCACAGCAAGUGGCUGCCUUUGCCCCAUCAGAGGAGGAGAUGCAUGUAAGUUCAUCACAUUUCCUGUCAGAACCUGUCAGAACAUUAACCUUAAUUUUUUCUCCUCUGCCAACAGUGGUUUGAUGUCUCCUACAGACUGGUGCAGCCACAACUCCUGAGACCCACCAGGAAUUGCAAGAGGGAUGUGAAAUGGAAACAUUUGAACAGUUGUGAUAAUCUGGGCCUACCUGCUGCACCGGGGCAAGUUCCAGGAGGCGCUGGGCUUCUACAGAGAGGUCCUGACACGAGACAAGAAGUGUGUGACCAUCCCCAGUCAGCGGCACUGUGUCAUCUACUACAGCUUCCUGCUGAGGAACCAGCUGCUGUACAAACCCGUCGCUCUGCUCUUCCACAAGAUGCUGUUUGAAACCAUCCCCAUGUUUACUGGAGGAACCUGCAAACCCUGCAAGUCCUGCCACAAGAUGAACAAGAUAAUGAAGAAGAUGAAGUGGAGGACAAGCUCAAAGGUGCAGGCACUGAUGGGAAACCUCCUCAGGCCGCGAUGUGAAGUUCAUUGUGAAAGACUCAGUAGAGGAGAAGAUGGUGGAGAUCCAGAGGGGGAAGCAGGACCUGGUGGAGAAGGCUUUUGGCUCCAAGAACAAUGACAGGAAAACAUCUUGCAUCAAUGACAUCAAGGCUCUGAUGGAGCUAUAGAUGUCUGACAAUGGGCCUGAGCUAAUGUGUCAACAGUGCAACAAGACAAACCUUGAACCAU